AACCAAAGAAGCCGAAGAGCAAGCACACAGAAAGAAGCUGAAGACAAGGAGAUGACUCUGGAAGAGUAUGAGAAAAUCCUGGAGGAGAAGAAGAAGGCUCUAUAAGCCACUAAGGUCGAGGAAAGAAAAGUUGACACCAAAGUGUUUGAGUCCAUGCAACAGCUUUCUAA